rnacentral:rRNA from 1 species
GGAUGGGUAGGGGAGCGUCGUGUGCCGGGUGAAGCUGCAGCGGAAGCUAGUGGUGGACGGUUCACGAGUGAGAAUGCAGGCAUGAGUAGCGAUACACACGUGGGAAACGUGUGCGCCGAUUGACUAAGGGUUCCUGGGUCAAGCUGAUCUGCCCAGGGUAAGUCGGGACCUAAGGCGAGGCCGACAGGCGUAGUCGAUGGAUAACCGGUUGAUAUUCCGGUACCCGCUGUGAAGCGUCAAACAGUGAACCAGGCGAUGCUAAGUCCGUGAAGCCGCCCCGGAGCCUUCGGGCAAGGGGGAGUGGUGGAGCCGACGGACCAGACCUGUAGUAGGUGAGUGAUGGGGUGACGCAGGAAGGUAGUCCAUCCCGGGCGGUGGUUGUCCCGGGGUAAGGGUGUAGGCCGUGCGAUAGGCAAAUCCGUCGCACAUUGAGGCUGAGACCUGAUGCCGAGCCGAUUGUGGUGAAGUGGAUGAUCCUAUGCUGUCGAGAAAAGCCUCUAGCGAGUUUCAUGGCGGCCCGUACCCUAAACCGACUCAGGUGGUCAGGUAGAGAAUACCGAGGCGUUCGGGUGAACUAUGGUUAAGGAACUCGGCAAAAUGCCCCCGUAACUUCGGGAGAAGGGGGGCCAUCACUGGUGAGGAGAUUUACUCUCCGAGCUGGGGGUGGCCGCAGAGACCAGCGAGAAGCGACUGUUUACUAAAAACACAGGUCCGUGCGAAGCCGUAAGGCGAUGUAUACGGACUGACGCCUGCCCGGUGCUGGAACGUUAAGGGGACCGGUUAGUCAGGAUUCGUCUUGGCGAAGCUGAGAACUUAAGCGCCAGUAAACGGCGGUGGUAACUAUAACCAUCCUAAGGUAGCGAAAUUCCUUGUCGGGUAAGUUCCGACCUGCACGAAUGGCGUAACGACUUCUCGACUGUCUCAACCAUAGGCCCGGUGAAAUUGCACUACGAGUAAAGAUGCUCGUUUCGCGCAGCAGGACGGAAAGACCCCGGGACCUUUACUAUAGUUUGAUAUUGGUGUUCGGUUCGGCUUGUGUAGGAUAGCUGGGAGACUGUGAAGUGGGCACGCCAGUGUCUGUGGAGUCGUCGUUGAAAUACCAGUCUGGUCGUGCUGGAUGUCUAACCUGGGUCCGUGAUCCGGAUCAGGGACAGUGUCUGAUGGGUAGUUUAACUGGGGCGGUUGCCUCCUAAAGAGUAACGGAGGCGCCCAAAGGUUCCCUCAGCCUGGUUGGCAAUCAGGUGUUGAGUGUAAGUGCACAAGGGAGCUUGACUGUGAGACCGACGGGUCGAGCAGGGACGAAAGUCGGGACUAGUGAUCCGGCGGUGGCUUGUGGAAGCGCCGUCGCUCAACGGAUAAAAGGUACCCCGGGGAUAACAGGCUGAUCUUCCCCAAGAGUCCAUAUCGACGGGAUGGUUUGGCACCUCGAUGUCGGCUCGUCGCAUCCUGGGGCUGGAGUCGGUCCCAAGGGUUGGGCUGUUCGCCCAUUAAAGCGGUACGCGAGCUGGGUUUAGAACGUCGUGAGACAGUUCGGUCCCUAUCCGCUGCGCGCGCAGGAACAUUGAGAAGGGCUGUCCCUAGUACGAGAGGACCGGGACGGACGAACCUCUGGUGUGCCAGUUGUCCUGCCAAGGGCAUGGCUGGUUGGCUACGUUCGGGAGGGAUAACCGCUGAAAGCAUCUAAGCGGGAAGCCUGCUUCGAGAUGAGUGUUCCCACCCACUAGAUGGGGUAAGGCUCCCAGUAGACGACUGGGUUGAUAGGCCAGAUCUGGAAGCCCGGUAACGGGUGGAGGUGACUGGUACUAAUAGGCCGAGGGCUUGUCCUCAGUUG